rfam:Mesoplasma florum L1 complete genome.
AUCAAGUUUCAACCGCUCUUAAUUAAUACGUACAUAAGUAGAUUUAUAUCUCACGUAUAAAGGCGAGUCUAGACUGGAGG